AACUCUCAACCCCCCUGUUUUGUAAUGAAACGGGCGUGGGCUUGGAUUAUGGCUGUUUGUCGGCGUCAUUGCCGGCUCAGCUGAAAUACACGAGCAACCCAUUUGAAAUAGACGGUUUGACUCGGCGUAAUAAUUAUUUCGCUGAGGACGUCUUCUUUAAAGUUAGUGGUGCUUCUAAUGCGCUUUUUAAUUAAAGCAUCUUAAGC
rnacentral:misc_RNA from 1 species